UGAACACGGGGUUUGAAAUGUGGAGAGACUCGGCUAAGCUAGACGACAAAGAAAGUUAACCUGGUUUUGUUCUGCACUACUUCCUGUCCAACACAGAGGACCCAUGCCAGCGGCUAUGGCGAAUGAUACCGCGUGGAUGACGACGUGGAAUAUGGACACAAAUCCCAGCAACAGAUGCUGUGGUGUAGAUGUCAUGGAAGGUCCUCUUCGCCUUCUCCCAGGCAGAACUCCAAGCUCCAUGACCUGAUGACAUGAGCUCCCUCAUUCCUUAAGGUCUGUGUCUGAAUGUCAUCUGUUUGCUGAGCUACAGGAAUGAUUUUCUCUUGUUUCCAAAGGACAUGCUGUCAUUUUAGUCAGCUGCACAUUUUCUUUAAAUCAGUCAUGUUUUAUGAGAAACAUGCCAUCUGGUAUAAAAUUUUUACAAGUAUUAGCCCUGUACUCUAAUUGGUUUGUCAUAGAUUAUCUUUACCUGUUUGUUUUGGCUUUAUUUGGUUUGACACAUUUCUUUCAUCAUAUUUGUCCUAUGGUCAGCUGAGCUUUUUUAGUGAUGACAGUUAAUGCAGCUGCUCACCAUCAGAUGAACCAGGUAAACUCAGUUACUUUUUUUUUUUUUCCCCAUGUGGGGUUGUGACAGUGAUGAGUUGCACUAUUAGUCAGGCUGGUGAUUGCAGUGGCACAGCCAGCCUGUCCUGACAAGCUGUGGUGACACCUCAAGGUGCACAGGGGCCAUCUGAGUCACUUCCCCACCUGACAGGAAAAAAAUAGUGGCUGGCUCUUUAAAGUGUUUUCUCGCUUCAUUUUCUCAACUGCAAUUCUUUUUCUCCUUUUUUUUUUUUUUUUUUUUUUGUUGUUGUUGUUGUUUGUUUUGUUUCCUUAUUUUCUCAGUCUGAAGAUUGGACAGCUUAUGCUUACAUGAGAUGACCCAAAUAUAUCCUGCCAGCAAAAGUAGGUGGAGGAAGUCCGACCCCAAAACUGCUUAAUACCAGUACACUCUGCCAGCCCCACAGCAGCAGACACUGCAGUCACUGGUACAGCUCUUUGUGGACCUUCACUAGUUGUGCACAUCACCAGUCACUGAUCCCUGAGCUGCUGCAGAAUGACCUACAUUGACCCGAUGUUACCCAAUGCUGAAAAACGAUUUCCAGUAGUGAAUUCUCUAAGAAUCCAAACCCAUCCCUUCUUAUUUGAUGAUUGAAACAUCAGCUUGCAGCCUUGUGCACAGUGAGGAGUCGGACAAGAUUUUGCAUCAGAAGAAAUAUCCAAAGUGGUGGAGAGCAUCAUGACCAACCUCGGAAGAUCUGUGUCAUUGGCUUAACUUCAACAUUUUCCUUCACUCUUACUACAGCAACAAUCAUCCAGGCAAAUACUGUAAUAAAAUGGCACAAACUUGUAUCAUAUUUCUAGCAUUUUGAUUUUUGGGUCAUAGCAUCCAGCUGUCAAAUAGCUGAAUUAAAGCAGCAGAGGGUUCAUUAAUCACUUUUGCUGAAAGUGUUUUGCAGAGGUGACAGCAACUGGACUCCUAAGAACGAUUACAGUUUCAGUGAAUGCCUUGCAUCAUCAGAGGCUUUAGCUCAUUUUAAAUAUCUGCUUGUUCUGUUGUUAUGUCAUCCAGCAGGGUUAGAAGUUUGUUUGCCUGGCACUAUGAUGUGUAUGUAUUAUUGUAGGGUCUACCUUACAAUAUAAAGUGGCUUGAGGUGACUGUUGUUGUGACUUGGCGCUAGAUAAAUAACAUUGAAUUGAAGCAAUCUGUAUUCGGAUUAUUUAUGUACCCAGGAAACGGUGAAAGUAACUGUGUAGUUGUAACAUCGAAGAUUCUCCGCAACAUAUGUGCAGGAAGCAAACCUGAGAUGGUUGGUGUUAAACUUAACAAUAUCCUGCUGUUCACCUGGUUAGCUGUAAUUAUACUGAUAAUGAAAUCACUGGUGUAUUUUUACACCUUAGAUACUGAUUUACACUGACUCUGCAGGUUUAGUGGAUCUGUCAAGUAUCAGUGGUUUACACAUGGAUUUCUUUUGAAUAAACCGUAAUUAGUAACUGGGGAACCGACAUAUGUAAUGUAGGUGUUUGGCACCAGUACAGAUCAUAUUACAGCGGUAUUGGCCAGAUAUGAAUAGAUUAUAGAGAACUGGCUUCUUCAUUUACAUGAACCAAAGAAUUUUAGGUACAUAUGACAAUCCAAUUUUUUUUUUCUUUGCAUAAAUGUAUUCAUUUUUAAUUUUAUGCCACCAAUAGUUGUCUAAAAAGUUGGAACAGAAGACUGAAAAAGCUGAAAAUCAAUAUUCAGUUGCUGUGUCUUUGUGCUGUCGGGUGGAAGUGCAUUAAAAAAAAGAUUCGGUAGUAGACAUCACUCUGUGGACUCAAAAGAAUUCUGAAAAUCCUCGUCAUUAAAGUUCAUUGCUACAUCCACAGAAAGCUUAAAUCUACUAUGUACGCUAAAAAAGGAACGCAGUGUUACAUCCAGGGUCAUUUAAGAUGGAUGGAGGUGAUGUGGAGAAUUGGCCUGUGGUCUGAGCCGGAAUUAGAAAAGGGGGGGAAAAAAGUGACGAUGGGGCCACAUUCAGGUUGGAUCAAUCUUCACUUUAAAAACAAAAAAUGUGCUGCUGGUAUUAAAUUAAAAAUGUGUACAUCCUCUCAGUAUCACAUUUCUAUCUGUUGAUUUUGUUUGGUUUUCAGUCAAUACAGAAGAAUUAAAUAACAUGACCUAUAUAAAUUAAAUUCAGACAUGUGACAAGUUGCUGUUCUCCAUGGUUGCCCAUCUCUGCUGUAGAGUAGGAUUUUAACCACCAGGUGGCAGUUGAAUAUCAGGCAUCCCCUCCAGUCUGUUGCCUAUAAUAAGGUAACACAUUGUACUGGAGUAAUUAGCGCCUCAAAACUGCACACACUGAUAACUCCUGCAGCAUCGUUUUUCAUCCGUAUCCUGUGGUGCACACACCAUGUAGGUUUCUGUGGAGAUGAA
ensembl:lncRNA